UCUUAUGGCCAUUCAAAACAGAAAGCUCCAAAUCCUAUCAGAUCUUUGAAGUUAUGCAUGUGAUGGCGUCUUCAGUACUUUGGUGGGGGGCCACGAAGGGAAUACGAAGUGCCGUAAGAG
rnacentral:rRNA from 1 species